AUUGAACGCUGGCGGCAUGCUUUACACAUGCAAGUCGAACGGUAACAGGUUAAGCUGACGAGUGGCGAACGGGUGAGUAAUGCAUCGGAACGUGCCCGGUCGUGGGGGAUAACGCAGCGAAAGCUGCGCUAAUACCGCAUACGAUCUGAGGAUGAAAGCGGGGGACCGUAAGGCCUCGCGUGAUUGGAGCGGCCGAUAUCAGAUUAGGUAGUUGGUGGGGUAAAGGCUCACCAAGCCGACGAUCUGUAGCUGGUCUGAGAGGACGACCAGCCACACUGGGACUGAGACACGGCCCAGACUCCUACGGGAGGCAGCAGUGGGGAAUUUUGGACAAUGGGCGAAAGCCUGAUCCAGCCAUGCCGCGUGCAGGAUGAAGGCCUUCGGGUUGUAAACUGCUUUUGUACGGAACGAAAAGGUUUGGCCUAAUAAGCUGAGCUCAUGACGGUACCGUAAGAAUAAGCACCGGCUAACUACGUGCCAGCCGCCGCCGUAA
rnacentral:rRNA from 1 species